UCAGAAACGAUUUAACAGAUCGUGAUAAGUUGAGUAAGUAUUUGUAAAUACUUGUUUAUAUUUAUAUUCAUAGUUAAUGUUUACUUAAUUUAUUAUUUGCAUUGGUAAAAUUAGAAUCAUAUCUAAGUUAAUAGUGGCUCAAUUCAGGAGGGGGAACGUUAUAAUCCCCCCCCCUCGAAAUUAGACAUUUUCUUAUACGAAUUGAGCGUAUAUACGUGUAGUUGCAUAAUUUGUACAUUGCAAUUACAGAAAUUUCCUCGUAAUUUUGAAUAUAUUUAGAAGUUUACUAUUGCAAAAACCUGCUCAGAAAUUUGGUUGAAAUCCAUAAGUUUUCAUAAUUUGAGUAUAGCAUAUAUUAUGUACAUAUGGACGGAACCGGGACAUUAUGCCGAGUGAAAAUAAUAUCCUGAAAAAAAUUUAAAAAAAAUCCUAUGAUUGAUCUUGACAUUAUCUGGAUUUAUGAAUUUAAUGACCUGUUCAGCAUUUUCAAACGAUGAUGAAGAGAUAUAAAUUUCGGUAUAAUAGUACGCAUUUGUCCCGAGUCACGGGUGCAAAUUCAUUUUAUUAGUCGUAAUAUCGUGUGUGUGUGUGUGCAAAACGGAUUUUUAACAUUUUCUACUAAAGUUUUUUAAGGUCAGAGUUCAGAGCCGCUGUACGCGGUGAAAUUUAGGGUGUUUAUAUAAAACUGCAGUUUUUACAGUAAAAUAUAAUAUAACAUAUGUAAUAUUUACUUUGGUGUAAAUUAACGUUGUGGGGUGCGUUCGAACAACGGAAAUUCGGAAAAAUAUUCAUAUAUUUCCGUAUCACGCGUACCGUACAGUUCAUUACUUAAUUAACGUAUGUUAUACAGGCUAAUUGUUUUAUUACAUGUACCAGCGGUUAUAUUAGAUCUCAUUUACAAUGUUUUUAAAAUCAUAAUACCUUUAAUUCCGUAUACCACAUUAACGCAUAUUGACUUUUGAUUAAAAAAUCCGCGAUUAAUCGUCGCGUGGUUCGCGAUAAGAAAAUCGCGGCGAAGUGGCAAUGAUAAGAGGGAACUGCUUCAAAUUUGAUUAAAUCCAGUGGGGGAUAUAGAAUUAAUUUUUUUUGGGAGGGGCGGUUUAACAUUUUUCAUAUUAAAUUUGAACAAUGAACACUAAAUAUAAAAUACAGAUAAGAUUAUAAUCAAGUAUCAAUAUUAUCAACUAAUAUAAUAUUUGAUCUAACCGUAAGGACCGGGGCCCUCUCGGCCCCCCUUGAAUCCGCCACUGAUUAAAUCCUUAUCCAUUAAUUUCUCCCGAGUGUAUAAUAGCGUUUAUGAUUUCGGGACUGUACAUAGAAAAUAAGCUAUUUAUAUUGAUCAUUUCAUGGAGUCACUAUAUUAAAUAAAUACUUUAUCAGGUCCAUCAUCCUGGCACUUGCACAUUGGAGUUUUAAAACCAAACCAACGCCAUUAUUUAGUAAGAAAUUUGUAAUAAUUUGUAACCUGUGUUUCAGAAUUUGUAACCCCUCCCACACUCGAGAAAAACACUUUUUUAUUUUCCGGGUGUUGGAACCACGGUCGUCCUGGCACCCGCAUCGUUUUUUGGAUUGAUUUAGAUACUUAAUUUAGUAUCUGAAGCCGUGGCUAAAUGUAACUGAAUACUAUCAGGCGUUAGUCGUCGUUUGGUAGUUUGUUAAGGACAAAAACGACAUAAAAUAUUAGUAUACGCAGUGUCUUUGAGGUCUAUUUACACACAGCAGUGACGUUACAGUACCGUGACAGUGUCUUAACCGUUCUGGGAUUUCACCGGCCGUGAUAUUUAAAACGGUCAGUGUUUCAUCCGUCAUUCGCGUCGCGUCGUUUCACACGACCUUCACUUAUACUCAAUAUCUAAUGUACUCGUACUCGCCGUCAUUGUAGCAAAGAUGGCUAUGGUUUCGGAAAGUUAAUUAUUAAUGAUUACUUUGGUUUUGGAUGAAUAAUAAGAAAAAGACGAUUAUGGGUACAUCCGGCAUGGAAGAAUAGAUCAACAGAAGAGGAAUGUUCCACUUUGUAUAAAAAAAAAAUAGACGAUGGAACGAAGUUUUUUGAAUAUUUUAGAAUGUCUGAAAAUGCAUUCAAUAAAUGUAGUGUCCGUGUAUUUAUGUGACAAAUCAUAUAAUACGGUAUAUUUCCGCACAAAUUCAAUAAGUUUCUCUUAAACUAAGGUUACAAAUUACUAUAAAUUCCUUACUGAAAAAUGGCGUUGGUUUGGUUUCAAUCGGACAAGUUUAAGACGAUGCGGGUGUCAGUAUGACGUCGUUCCAGCACCCGAAAAAUAAAAAAGUGUUGUUCUCGGGUUUGGGAGGGGUUAUAAAUUAUAACAAAUUCCUUAUCAAAUAAUGGCGUUGGUUUGGUUUUAAAAUUCCAAAGUGCGGGUGCCAGAUGACGGACCUCACUUUAUCAUAAGAGUCAACACGCCGUCUGGUGGAAUAACGCGGUGUCCAAAUGAUCAACGUUGUCACGUGGUUUUUCUCGGACUAGCUUUUUAGAUUUACGCUUAGGGCACUAAUUUUGUUGGAGCUAUAACAGGUUUGGACCAAUAUAAUUGUUUUAUUUCGGAUAUUGAUAGUUGUCAGAAAAUCUGCAAGAGGCUAUACAGUAUUUCACAGUUGCAAACUGUUCACUUUCAAAAUAUUAUAAUACCAUAAUUAUUUUGUAAUACGAUUUUUGUACAUUAUCGACUUUUAUACGUCGAAAUGUGACCUACCGAUGUGAUUUUUCCCAUUUCCUCCUCUUUUCUUUAUUUUCACCAGGUGUGUUUUUUCAACGACUAAAAAAGCUUUAGGUUUUAAUUAACUACGAGUUUAUUGGACGUGGUUAGGUUAGGUUAGGUUACGCGGCGAUUUUUUUUUUUCAAAGUCUUAGCAUUGCCGCAAAAUCGCUGUGGCUACAAUUCCUUAAUAAUCUGUCAACUAGGUAGACCUUGUUUCAUUUUAAAUUAAUUAGUAAUCAUUUUAUCGUUCGUAUUUUUUAGACCGAUAAGAACAAUUUUAUUGAAAGGGUAGCAAUAAAUGGCCCAUUUUAAAUUAUUAUUAUUAUACACCUGCGCGGCCACCGAAAACCAAAAACCCACCUUACUAACCCACACGUCUCGAGCGAGUGGACCAGCAACAGCUACGAUAGUAUAAUAAUACGAAAAAUAAUGACAAUUCAACAAUCGUCCGGAGACGACGCAACGGCCCGGUUGCGUCUUUCGGCCUUGGUCGCGUGAAUCGAAAAGCUUUUUUUUUUCUUCUUCUACAUUUGUUUGUUGUCUGUCAAUAUUGAUAGAAUACAGGUACACAGUAUAUACACACAUAAUGCGUGUACGAGUGGGUACUUGGGAAGAGUGUGCGUGGGGACCUCCACGAGGAAAUAAUAAUACUGUGUUUGCUCUCUCGUGAUUGCUGGGUAUUACAUAAAAAAAAAAAAAAAAAAAAAAAAAAAAAAUAAUAAUAAUAACAAUAUUAUUUUAAUACCUCGUCACAGCUACAUAGGAUUUUACCACUUGAAUCCGGUAAUCGUCGUGGUGGCGUAUAUAUAUUACGUACAACCGUUUGUAAUUAUAAUAUAUGAUUAUUGUUCACGAGUGUUCCGCGAUGUAUUGUAUUUUUGCAUACUAUAACAUAAACACUCCCGCUAUACAUUAUAAUGCCCGUAUAAUAUUGUAAUAUAUCGCGCUGACAAUAAAUACUAUUGUAUGGCGUAUUGGAGAUUAAAAUAUUAUUCGGGGGUAUAGUACAAUUUAAUACGACGUUGUCCAUGUCGGUUGUCUGGUGCAGUCUGCGUAAUAUAAUAACGAGUGCCCAUCAUGCUAUGGGAUUUCCGGUCGAAAUGCUCGCCGGAGCGUUGUGGCCAGUGGCGUUAUUUCGAUAUCUAGUAGACUGCGGCAAACCCGCGGAAUUCGCUGAUUGGCGAUUGGAAAGUUAUUGCCGAAAAAAAAAAAAAAAUGACAUAUUUUUACAAUCGCUCGCUUAUUGCCCUUUGCAUUCAACAAGUAUUGUAGAUAUUUUUACUUUUAAAGAAACUGAUAUCAACACUUAUUUUUGAGGUGUUUAUAUUUUAUGUUUUUACUUUUUUAAGUUAAAUAAAUCGUUCAAUUUUUGGUCGGAAAAAAAGAAAAUCGACAAUUUGAUCACGCAUUACUUAUCCGUGAGGGCGUGCAAACAAAAGGUAUAAGAACAAUUUUUCGACAUUUUGGAAAUUUACCCAGACUCAAAAGCAUGCAGACAAUCCGCCAAAUGCAUCUAACACAUUUUCAAGAAGGCCUUGGGCCGUAGUCGCAAUUUAAAUUUUUGACUCUUGGAAUAUUUUUCGUGUGAUAUGACCAGUAAAAUGUUUGUUUGAGUAAAAAACGUUAGGUUAGAUGUUAAGGUCAAAUUUUAAAAUUUUCAGUUGGCAGUGGUUGAUUAUCGGGGGAAAUUAUAUUUAGUUUUCAUUUAUAUUUUUGUUUAUACUGUUAAAAUGUUUUGGUAUUUUAAGCGCACCGGAAUACAGUUGUUCGAGUUAUAUUAUAUUAGUAUCGAAUUCUAUGUUUGAAACAAAAAAAAAAAACAAAUGAAAUAAAAUCGGAAUAUUCGGACGAUAAUAUUGCUAGAGACGUAUACAAAGCGUCGGUCGUGAAAAUAGAAUAUAUAAGCGUCCGCAAGAAUCAGAAACAGCGAUGACUUGAGGAAUACGAGAAUAUCGUGCGUUGAAAUUGCCCCGCGUCUACAUAAUAUAAUAAGAGACGCUGAACUAUACCAUUUGAACGGAGAAUGUGUUCGGUAACAGGUUUUAAAAUAAAAAAAAAAAAGAAAGGGAAAGGAGAGAGAGAAAACCUAUUUGCGUGCCUUCUAUAAUCGUGUGUAUUGGGUAAUAUUUCGUGAAGGUCAACUCGUAAUGUAAAACGGAAUUUACUGAUGCAUCUCCGGUGCACCGGUUUUUCAUAUCCGAAAAGGGCCAUUAGCAUUAUGCGUCAACAACACGCGCGAGACUAUAUAAUAAAGAAGUUCGGUUUGGUCGAAUAUAUUUAUAUAUUUUUUUUUUUUGGUAUCGAAACUGGUAUGUUAUUAUCCGGGCUUAAAUUUUAGUCCAAAAAAAAAAAAGAAAAAGUAGUUAUAAUAAUAUAAUAUGAGUACCAUCUGAAAGCUAGCCCGUAUACUAUUAUUGUUUCCUCCGCCCGACUAACUGCAGGAGAAAUAUUUUUAUUAUAAUUAUAUAUACCUACGAUAUUUAACGAGAAAAAAUAAAACAUACGCCACAUUAUGAAGUUAUACGAACGUACUUGGGGAAUAAUAACUAAUCGAAUGUUAAUAUCAAUUAUGUUAUCACUUUUCCUAACUCUUCUUCUAAUUUGGCUAUUGCCUUUUUUAAACUAAGAUUAAUAAUUGAUUUAUUGUAACAUUAUGGUUUUUAAUUCUCGUGUACAAGUACAUCAAACGCCCGAGUUGUAAUGAAAACUACAAACGAAUCAAUAAUAUUGAAUGUUAGAUACUUGUACCUACCUGUACUAUAUUUUGAUAUUGAUACGUACAAUUAUUGAAACAAAACAGUACGCUGGACACAAUUAUUGCUUAAGGCAAAAUCCACUUUUACUGAUCUUAAUAACAGAACCCGAAUGGAAAGAUACUGAAUUGGAUGUUUUUAGGAUCUAAAAAAAAGAUAAAAAUAUUCAAACGGAGGAUCAGAUUGAAAAUUAUGAGCAGCUGAUUGGGAGAACUAGCGGUCGAGAACCUCAAGAAGAAGAUAGAAAAUUAUAAAAUCCUUAAGUUUAAAGUGAUAUUUUUUGAUAGAUACUAUCAUGAUUAAUAUCAUUGAAAUGCACUUGGGAAAUGGAACCCUAAAUAUUAGUAUUAAUCAUUUAGUUUUCAGAAGAUUGAGCUUGGUGUCAUAGUGAAGCUAUUUCGCAUUUAAUCUAUCGAUAAUAUUAUAAAUAAAUACGAUACAUACUUUUGGUUUCCUAUACGGUUUACAGGUUCAAUAUUUAAUAUUUAAACAUCCUGUUUACAAUAAACACAUGUAUGUUAGGUAAGCCAUAAAAAAAAAAAAUGUGAUAUAAUUGAUAAUUGUUUGUGAUAUGAGCAAAUAGUAAUGCAAAACACUAGUCAUUUGAUUUAAUACUUAUAAACGAUUAACGAGUGUUAAUACAUCGAGUGUUACAUUAUGAUGCUUCCCCUUUGUAUGAUUUCCUUGAGUGUAUAUUUGUGUACAAAUAACAUACCUACUGUAUAGUAAAAUACAGUCGAAUCUCAUCAAUCUGGACUAAUUGGGGCUAUAGAUUGUCCGAAUUAACGAAAGUCCGGAUUAGACAAAAUAACCAAAAACCGUGUAUUUUUUUUUCAUUUAAAAUUGUACCGGUUUCAACAAUUAAAACACACUGUGUAUGUAUUAAAAAUUGAAGUAUAUGAAUUAUAAUAUAGGUAAUUCAUAAAUAAUCUCGAUAACAUGCAUUCAUGGGAAAUUCGUAGAUUUCAUUUUCAUUUUUAUUUUGAUCUGCGGCACAAACUGCAUAUAGUUUUCGUUCUUAAACGGUUGUCCGUAGUAGGCGCAGUCCAGUUUUAUGGGGUCCGGAUUAACGAGGUUCUAUUGUAUUAGUAAAUUUCCGCGUAUUUAUACAAAACUAUGAGGUUUUAAUUAAUCGUUUGGAUACAAUUUCAAAAGUUUUAAACGUUUCUUUAGGAUUAGCUAGCAAAUAUUUUAAGUCUAAAACGUUUGAACGUGGAAUAAACGAUGCCACUGCCCUGUACCAUUUUAUCAGUUUUUAGAAGAAAUCAGAGUGAAUAAUAAUAUGAGAAACAUCAUACUUACGUAUAAUGUAAUAUUACGAUGUAACGAUACUACGUAUAAUAUGAUAGAAGCCGAACAAAGGAAAACGUUUUGGCGGCAAAGAGCCUGAAUAAGCUCACGCGAAUUUGAAACACAGGAAACAUUAUCGCUAUCUAAGAAAAAAAAAAAAAAUGAAUCCUAAAAUGUAGAUGUUUAAUUUUCGUCGUCUAUGUACGGGUACUCACACUUGAACUUUGGACAUUGAAUAAGAAAACCGUAUACAUUUUUUUUUAUCGACUUUUGAGUUUCCUAUAAGUGAUACCACAACUGACACGGACAAAACAAAUCGAAUUCAACAUGGUUGUCCCCGGUAACCUACAUAAACAUAAAUAUUAAUUUAGUUUUUACGGUCACGGGCAACGUAUUGUGAUGGGGCGGCUCUGCUAGUAUUUUUUUUUAGUAAAGUAACAAUAUUAUUAUUGUGCAAUACGCUUAAUAAGUAUUUAUGUAAUGUGUGAAAAAUCGAUUUUUUUUUUUAAUGUUUUUUAAUUUUUUUUUAAUAGCUAGAUUAUAGUUGUAUUAUUAAAUUCGGAAGAAUUCGUUAUUUAACGCUGCCCGUAUGUUAAUUUUGUUAUAUAUGUUGAAAGAACAAGUGGUUGGUUCUAUAAUUUCAGUAAAAUUAUGUGACUAGUUGUGCAGCAUGCAAGUGUAACUGGUUAUAACUUCUUUAAAUCUGAACUUGAAUUGUGCAUACGAUUUCCGAAUACCGUUUCGUGAGUCGAUUUACGAGUGAUAAAUCGUUUUAAAAUUAUUUUACAUGCAUAUCAAUCGUAAUUUAUUUGGAUUUUUUUAACUUUAUUUGAUGCAAUGUUUGAAAACAUAAUUAACUAUUAUAUGAUUUAUUAUUGAUUUGUAUAACAAAAAAACAAUUCGAAAAAAACGACGGCGGUUAGGUACUCCAGUUUUUCCGACUUUUUUCUUGAUUUUUUCCCAUUAUUAGGAAACAUAUGAGAUGUUUAAAGAAUACCAUUCACAACGCAAUGACUAUGAUAGAUCCGAUAUGCUAUAAGAAAGCUCCUAUUUGUAGUUUUUGAUUGGACCGAGUCUUCUGUUCGUAAAACUAGUUUACAGACGGGAGAAAUACACAGUGAAUACGAAUUCAAAUUAUUUAUAGAGGUUAUUGGUUUUGUGAAUACCAGUACUCUAAUUGGGGAGGAGAAGGAGAGGUCAGGUGAACAGAGCUCUUCUACUAUUAUUUUGUUUUAAUAUAAUCAUUUCUAUUGGGACGGUAUGUCUGCUUUUGCAAAUAAUGAUAUUUUAAAAAAAAACACGUAUUAUCAUCUCGGAUACAUUCAAUAUUGAAAACAUUUGCUUACAAUGUAAUAUUAUAGUACCUACUAAAUUCUAAAAUAGUCAGUAUAAUACACUUCUCGUUCAGUUUGAAAUAAUUACCAUUAUUCUAUUUUCUACAUUGCACUUUGCCAUGUGUAAUAAUAAUAAAGUAAGUAAUUUAACCAAAAUCUAAACAUCGUAUUUUCAUUUUUACGAAAAAAAAAAAAAAAAAAAUAACAAUUUAAUAAAAAUAAAUGUCAACAUAUUUUGAUACAAACAAAUGGUAGUAUAAUACAUAAAAUAAAUCAUUAUGAAAACAAAAACGUAGUCUGCAGGGGUAUCAUUGGACGCGGUUUUUUUUUUCUUUUUUAGAUGAUUAAUUAUUGGAACUAUGUUGGAAAAGUGACGAAAGGUGGCUCCCCCACCGGUUAAGUUGAGUUUCAUAAAAUUUCAAUGGAUGCACAAUUUUUCAUUAAAUCAAAUUGUUUCUCUUUUUUUUUUAUUUUUCCAAUUCGAACACUGGUGGAUACUGUCGGCUGAAGUUACGGUAUUUAAACAAUUUUCUAAAAUAUCGAAAGAUACUUAUUUAUUAUUAAACAUUGAGUAAAAGCCGCACCGUCUUUUUUUUUUAUUUGAAAAUUGAUAUUUGACUUGCGUCAUAAACGACGUGAAAUAUAAGUAAAUACGUGCAUAUAGAAAUAUACGGUCACGAGAAUUCGUGAAUUGCAGUACGUAUGUUUACAUAUAAAAUUAGGUCCUAGGUGUUUGCCUACACUUAAAUACCAUUUCUUCGUCAAACACAAGACGUCGCAUAUUAUUAUCAGUGUCGGCGGUGGUGGGGCGGCGAUAUAUCCGCGCGGACUCUGCUGGAUCGCCGAAAAAUACAAUGAAAAAUUAUUAUAGUCGGCGCAGAAGACGGCGAGAAGGCAACUGGCACAGUCCUCGAAUAGGAUUGUACUUCACGUGUUAUAUUAUUUUUGGGUAAGUAAUAGUCAUUUUUAUAUUCUGCGACGUUUUCGGUGUUUUGUGACGCAUAUAAUAUUAUAAAAGUUUAGAAGCUCUCGCAGAGUGAUAAAAAUAACGUAAUAUAGGUAAAGUCAGUGUUAAUGAUGGGAUUAUAUUUUUUUUAAAUAAAUUUAUAAGACUUUCGAAACGUUUUAAAAAGUGCAGACUAAAUGCAUUUCUAAUUAAAUAAUAUAAUACGAAUAUUUUUUUAACUUCCUUGUAAUUUUCUUAAUAAUGGUAAAAGGAUGAAAUAGUUGAGAAACCAGGAAUUUUCAUUACAUUUUAUUCAAUAUUGAUUUUUGUUUUAAACGAUUGGGUUUUAGAUUUUAAGCGAAGUAAGGAAUGUGUUAGUUUUAUAAUGAUGUUUAUUAUUGUUAUUUUUUUAUUUAUAUGGGGAAAUUUACUAAAAUAAUGUUUUUGUUAUUUUUAAUUUUGUUUUUUUGUUGUAAUUAGACUUGAAAUUUAAACAGAGAUCUCAUAUUUGCCUUUUUUGGUAAAAAUUUCAAAACAUUUGAGCCAUUUUUAAGCUAUUUAUAGACAUUUUAAUUUUGCGAGUUUUUGACAUGAUAUUUAUUCCGUAGUUAUUUUGUGGUUACAAUUAUUAGACCAAAUAGAAAUGCCUGAACAUUUAAUAGGGCGUUCAUUAUAAGUUAUACUUAGUAGGUAAGAAGAAAAAGUUGAGUUUAGUAUUUUUUUUUUUAUAAGAACUUUAAUAUCAAAUUUUGACGAAAAUCAUAAAUAUUACGGUCUUUUAAAACAUAUGUAACCGAACUCCGCUCAAAAUCAUUUUUCAUUAGCAAUAAUUAAUCUUAGCAUAAAAAAAAUGCAUUAAAGUCCCCUCUUCAUCCUACCUUCUCAACUUCUCACCUACAACAGUGGCCCACCCAUCGUGUGAAAUAUGUCCGUCUUUUUUAACUGUAGUUCAAUAAGAAAGCACUUAACAUUUUCACUGAAAACUCGUUUAUGAACUUGUUUAGACUAAUUAUUUUAAAUUUACGUGUCCCUUUUCACGUGCUUGAUUAUUUGAGUAAUAUAGGUAUACUCUAGAUCUUCUUUUUUCUAUGCAUGCUUCAAGAUCUCUUUAGAUUAAUGUUUAAGCUUUUAAGUCUUUUAGAGAAUGUCCUAUCAUAGGUAUUAAUUGGCAUAUUAUCUAAAUUAUGUAUAGAGAGUCUUAUAAUAUUCGUUUCAACAAAAUUGCAUUUAAAAAAGUCUAUGUUAUAAUUAUACCCAACAAAAACAAAUAUAUCAUUAUUUUGGUUCUUGUCUAUAUUUGAGAAGUUUUAUCCUCCAAUAACAUAAUUGAAUUGACUCAGAAGAUCAUGCCAGGUAUUAGUAGAAUUAUAUAGAUUUUUAGAUUCUGAGUGAAACGAAGAUAGUUUUACAAAGAUGUUUAUUUUUUUUUUAUCUGUGCGCAACUUUUCUACCAAAAGUCUUGCUCCGAUUUUUAAGUAUAGCACCUUUUUUGAAAGAAAAUCGGUGUGGUGAAAUAUUCUAUGGAGGUAAUUUUUUGGUUUUUUAAAGAAUUUUCUCUUCAAAUUUGGAAAACCGAAAAAAACUAGAGGAAAAACAGGAAAAUAUAAGAAAUGUAGGUAUUAGUUAAAAUUUAUUACGGCCUUCUUUUUACCUGUGAACAACUCUUCUAUCAGCAAUUUUGAUUAGAUUUAUAAUGAGAGCAAUUUUUCUGAAAGGAAAUUCGACUGGAAGGUACUUUAGAGAGGUCGUUUUUCGAUUUUAUCAGGAGUUUUCCUGAAGAAAACCGGGGAAAACUUGGAAAAACAUGGAAAAACCAGGAAAACGUAGGAAAACUCGGAAAAUUGGUACAAUAUUAAAUAAAUAUAUAAAGAAAAUUUGUAAAGCCUAUUUAAUUAUUUUACUAUAAUAUGGCAUAUAUAUUGUUGAACAAGGAUCACUAUUAACUGAACUUUGCUCAAAAUCGUUUUUUCCUUAGCAAUGGUUUAUUGUUGCUUACAGGUAUACAUUAAAUUACCUAGUGGAUGCACUCGUCUCCAUUAUCCUAGGACGUCUUUUUUACCAUUUAGAUCAUUUUCUAAAAAGACAGUUAGUUCAUUAAAAUUAGAGUUCACAUUCCUAAUAUUACAAUACAGUAUAUUUAUAAACUAAAUAUUUAUAUUGUUAUUAAUAUGCAAAACAUUUCGUAAAAUAUUUAAAAUAGUUUGCUUUGUAACUAAAGCAUUAAGGCAUCUAUUAAUAUUUAAAAAGUUGUCCAUUUAUAACUGUGAAAGAAAAAUGAACAAAUAAAAACAACAAGCAUUUCCUUAUAGUGAGUAGGUAUCAUCAUCUAAUCUAAGGAAUUACUAAUGUAUUUUUGUAAGCAGUUUAAAUAAAUAAGUUAAAAAAAUUUCAAAUAUAGGUUAUAAUUUACCCUAAUUUCUAAAUUAGGGUAAAUUAUAAAGAGUACUCGUCAUUUAGUUUAAAUGCUUUGGUAUUUUAAUUUUUUUUUACAACUUAACCUAAUCGAACAAACCUAUAGGUAAACACUUAUCUUACUUUUUUUUUAAGGGGCUGAUUUUCCAAAUUUUCUCUGAUUUCAUAAAACUCAAAAAUUAUUUUAUACUUUUAAAUGGCCAUCUUAAUGCUUAACUUUUCCCACUAAUCUUUUGUCCAUUGUCUAGAGGGAAAGUCGCUUUUACGGACGAAUUUUACUUUACGGGAACCUAUUGAGAUAACUCAUUACAAAUGUAAUAUUUGUCUUGUACUUGUUUUGUAACAUUUAUUAUGCAUUUACUGAUAAAUAACAUUUUCUUGCGCACAUUGAACUCCGAUGUUUUGUUUGAUGAAACUUUAAAUUAGUUCUUUUUGACAAAAGACAUAUUAUAAGGUUUAAGAUUAGAUCAUUUAAAACGGAGCACAAUGAAAAUAUGGGAGAAAAUUUUCUUGGCAUUUUAAAAAAAAAUAAAUAAAAUAAUAGUAUUAAUAAUAAUCGUCAAAAUCAGACAAUUUUAUGAGGCAUGAGAGGUAUUACGUUUUUGAACCAAAAAACGCUCUGGCUCCGAGUUCCUUAGUUAAUUAACUUUGUAAUCUUGCAUAGGUAAUACGUCUUAAAAAUAAAUUGAUUUCUUAAUUUUUUUUUACUAAAUUUUUUAUAACACUAUAGACUAUAGAAAAAUGAUAUAAAAAAAAAAACGAGGUUGGCAAUAUAUUAAUGUAUUAUUCCUAUUCCCGUGAAAGUCAUAAAAACAGUUGUGUCCCUUCCCUCUUUUAAAUGGAUAUUAGAUCGGCACAAAAGUAUUAUCAUAUAAAGGCGACCAUUUAAAUAUUUGAAACAUUUUGAAAAAUCGGCACCGGAUUCCCUGAUAACAUAAUAAAGAUAUCAACUGAUAUAGUCAAACUUACAGUAGGUAACAUAAACUAUUCUUCUGGUAUUUAUAAAGAUAAAAAUAUUAAAAAAAAAAAAAAAAAAACGAACGAUUUUGUCUUCUAAAUAGGACAAUGUGCAAAUACUUGCCCGAUAAACAAUGUCAAAAACGGAAAAUGUUUUCGAUAUUUCGUUUUUAUAAUUAUAAAAAUAUUUAUGCACGUGACAACCGAAUUUAUAAAAUUAAUGUCGAUAACGCUGUAACCGUACAUUGUUACUAUACAGUAACGAGUAACUGUUCUCUUUUAAUUUUAUAAUAAUACAGUUUUUUGAUUUUCUCGUUUGUCGUGCCUCUAUAUUAUAAAAUAUAAUUAUAAAAACAGGUGCGUUUCGUUCGGUAUGCUUGCGAUAAUAAUAUAAUUGCUACGGUGCUGAGUCGAUGUAAAAUGGACAAAAUAACAUUAUUAUUAUUAUUUUACCGCCAUCUAAAUAUUGUGAAAUCGGCAUGUUCGCGAAUUAUGAUAAAAUAUAAUAUUGAAAUGUCGUCGUUGCAAUAUGCAAUAUUAUUGUAAUAUUAUAUUCGUCGUCGACCGUUCUGACGGUUUUCUAGUUAUUGUUUUUUUUUUUCGACGGUCGGUACUCUACACCACCGUCGUUUGACAAAUUAUACAUUAUUUCUCAAAAAUGAUUUUUAGUAUAACACCCACCUCCGGUCCCUCUCCUCUUUCUCUCAUCAUACGCUACUGAAAUCGAUAAAUGAGGUGUACAGUUUUAAAGGAUAUACGUUCACGAAUCGUUAAUAUACAAUAAUUAUUGCCCAUUGUAUUAGGCACUCCGUUUUUGGCAUCCGUUAGUUUUCAUAACAUAUUGUUCAUACUUUAAAAAUACGAAAUAUUCGCUCGUGGACCCACUAAAUAUAAAAUAUUGGUGGUAUAUUUAAGAGUAGAAGAUCAGGAAGAUACGAGUACAUCUCUUUCUUGACCCUUGUUUUUUAUUAUUUCUUAUUAAUUAAUACGAAUUCUUAUUUUUAGAUUCUGAGUGGAGCGAAAAAUGUAUUGGUUUUACAAUGAUGUUUAUUUUUUUUUUUUAGUGAACAAUUUUGCUCCAAUUUUCAAUUAUAGCACUUUUUCUGAAAGAAAAUGUGGCAGAACUGGUACUAUAAGAAGGUCAUUUUAUGAUUUUCUAAUUAGUUUUCGCUAUAAAUGGUAAAAACCGAGGAAAAACACGGAAAAACGUAUGAAGAACGGGAAAUGGGUACAAUAUUAAACAAAUAUUACUAAAAAAAAUAUAUGAUGCAUAUUAUGUAAUUAUUUUACCAUAAUAUGACAUAUAUACUGAUGACAAAGCAACAAUAUCAACCAAAUUCCAUUCAGAAUCAUUUUUCGUGAACAAUGGUUCAUCGUUGUUUACAUAUAUACAUUCAAUUUCCCCUCUACUAUACCUUUCCAACUUCUCACCUACAGCAGUGGCCCACCCACGUGUGAAGUAGGUCCGUCUUUUUACAGCUUUGGUACACGUUAUACAAUAUAACAUAAUGUAUGACCCAAUGCUUGGAAAUUUAAUAUCUCCUUCCUUGGCAAAUCCUACAAACACCACUGUAAAAUAUUAUAAAUGACGCGAUUGGGAUUCAUUUUCAUAAUAUGGGAACGUUAUGGGAGGUUAUGCAUUUUAAACAAAUUUUCUCGACAGAUAUGUAUUGCGGGGGUGGGAGAGGUUACGAGUCAUAUAUCUAUUAGUAAAUGAACAAAGAGCUGGUGAAGUGUAUCGACCCAUAGUUUAUGUCUGAAAUCACAAUCGAAAUUGUGCAACUACGUCGCGUCAUAUAGCGCUAGAUUUGUAGAAAAAAAAAAUCGUACAAUUCCCAAAUCUCACCUAAUUUUACGUCAUUGAAUUUAUUGUUAACGUUAAAACAUCCAAAGAUUUCAAAACGUUCUGAAGAUCAACUUAUAAUAAAAAUAGAAACCCUCGGUGUAAGGAACAUUUAAUUUUGUAUUGCAACCAUUUACAACGUAAUUACACCCUGUAGGUUAAAGGGAUGGCCAUUAAACAUUUUCGAAAAUCGUAGGCGUUCUAAAUGGCCUUUUUACAUUUACAAAUUUCAAUUGUUGAUAAAAUCGAUAUUAUGAAGGGGUGUAGGGUGUAUCUUCUUCAAUUAGUAUUGAUCGUUUUUUUCCAUCCAUAUCCUACCAUCCUACUCUAGUACAAUAAAUGAAGGAGGCACGGAUUCUGUGCCCCAUCCCUUUGUUUACGGACACUGUUUAAUGUGUAAUUUGUAGACCUUCCCCAUUGAGAAAUCCUGGUUAUUUCAGUGCACAAUGAAAUUUCGACUUUUGACUUAUACGACUUAAUGUAGAUAUUUUUAUUUGUAUAUUUUCGUGGGCGGCUAAGAGAAAUGAAGAAAAACUGUCGCUUAUUAUUCGGAUUAAAUCAACUGACGAUGUUUUACAAACAUUGAAAUGGAUUAUAUGCAAUAAUAUCGGGGAAACAAUACAUUCGUAACAUACAAGGCAAUUUGUCGCGUCCCACUUUUUUUCGCGUACGUAUUCGAAUUUCGUAUAGUGUUACGCGUCGUUCCGAUUGUUUUUCGCAAAACCCGUCGGCCACGCUCAUUAUCGAGAUAAAUUUCACAUGGUUAACAAUAUAAUAAUGUUCGAUUUCUAUAAUAUCAUACCGAACGACCGACCGACCGACGGCGACGUCGCCGAAACCUUUUCAACCGGACACCGGAGCGCUAGAAUAAAAAAAAAAAAAUCGCUCGAGUUUCUUUUAAUGCAGUUACGUCAAUGACGCGGGCCACCGUUAUCAUUAUAAUAUAAAAUAUAGUUUGUGGUAUAUAUAUAUAUAUAUAUAUAUUAUUAUCGUAUACGACCGUCACACGUUAAUGUGAUUAUAUCAGACUAAUGUCGUAUAGAAGAGUGUUUCAUAACAAACGAUAUUGUACGUGUUAUAUUGUCUACAGUCUGUUGUUGUUUUUUUUUUUUUUAUACAGUUUUUCUUUUGUAGCAGUGCGUUUUACGCAAUAUAUUAUCCUCCCGCCGCGUUUCGUGGUCGGGACAAUCCAAUUGGCUCCCGCAUACAGGUAGUCAAUAUUUCACCCUUAAAGUGUACGGUCGAAUUGGUUCUCAAAAAUUCGCUGUUAGAUUGGUUUCAUACACCUUUCUUUUUUACAAAUAUAUUGGUUACCAAAAUGUUAUUAAUUAUCUAUUUGUAAGUUUAGUACGAAAAUCGGUUUCCACGACCACGCGUACGUGCAUUAUUAGCAUAUCCACAUCGUUAUAAUUCGUUUCCGAUGAAUUUUAAAAAAUAUUGAAUUUUUAUUGAUUAAUUUCCCCUCUUCGCUUUGCAUUGUUUCGACCGAGUGCAUUUUAUACACUCAACAGCGCAUUUACUAAAAUAUGACUGCCGUAGUCGUCGAAUAUCAAUAACAAAACAAAUCUUGUUUAGAUAACGUAUAGAGAAUAGAAACCAUCAAUUAUCAAUAACGUAGUUUUAUAGUAGAUUACGGCGAUCAGUAUGAUAAGACUCGAUAGACAAUGAUAAUAUAAUAUAAUAUAAAAUAGUAUAGACGGAAUUAUAGCACCGGACUACUGAGUGUACAGUGCGAAUGAUGUGAAACAGUGGAACCGACGACAUCGAAAGCUGACAAAAAAGCACCUUUUUUUUUUAUCGUAUUCGUAUAAUGUAAUCGGUAGAGAAGUUCAUGCUUCAAUUGUAACCAGUGAAUAUAUUAGUAAGUGGAGUUGUAUAUUUGAUGGAUAUAAAUCGCCGUAGUGAUUUACCCGAGAGAAUGGAGGUGACAGGCCAAUAAACAAGGAAUUAAAUGCAUUUAGCUUAAAAAGAGUAAUAACUCAUAAAAAAAAAAAAAAUACUAAUAAAGAGGCAUACAAUAAACGCAUUUUAAAUUUCUUAACAGCACUGAAAUACAGUAUUAAAAAUCGAAUUGACACGUAUAUAGAGAGAGCAAAAGCGGUACGACUGUGCGAGGAAUAUAAAAAUAAUAAUUCAAAUAAAUAUAAAUAUAUAUAAUAAUUAUAAGUAUAAAUAAUUUUAUACAUGUUAUGUGAGCAUACCAUGUAUUCCCCCAAAAUUGCACAUCGUACCCAAAAAGAUACGGAUUUUCCGUUCAGUGGUUUUUAGAUUCUGAGUAAAACGAAAAAGCUUAUGGUUUUACAAAGAUGUUUAUUGUUUUUUUAUUCUGUGGACAACUUUUCCACCAGCAAUUUUGCUCCAGCUUAUAAUGAUAGUAAUUUUUCUAAAAGAAAAUUUCACCGAAAAGGUACUUUAGAAAGGCCAUUUUUUGAUUUUCUCCGGAGUUUUCUCAGUAAACUUGAAAAACUGGGAAAAACAUGGGAAAACCGGGGAAAUCGGUACAACAUUAAACAAAUAUUAUUUAAGAAAAAAAAUAGAGCCUAUUUAAUUACUUUAAUAUUAUAUGGCAUAUAAACUGUUGACAAAGCAUCAUUAUCAAUUGAACUCCGCUCAGAAUCGUUUUUUCAUAAACAAUGAUUAAUUGUUGUGUACAGAUAUAAAAUAAAUUCCCGUUUGUAUCCAACCUUCCCAACAUCCCACCUAUACCAGUGGCUGCAUCCGUCUCCAUUAUCUUACAAUUUUGUUUUAAACAUUUCUCUAAAACUACCCAAUAAUUUUUCGAAACAAAACCUUUCAAAACCGAUAUUUAUACUGGAUGAUACGCCGCUGGUUAGAGGAAUUUUAAAAUUUUGAACACAAGCGGAAGUCCAGUGACAUUUUUAAGCGGGUUUUUUAAUUUUAAUUUCCAUAUAGGUUCUUACGCUUGAAUUUCACACUUGUUUUUUUCAUUUUUGUCGAUUACAGAAUUGUUUUUCGUUUUUCGUUUUAUUAUUCAUUAUUUAGUUUAAACUAUAUCUAUACACGAUAUACACCAUAUAUUUCUAUAAUAAUAAUAAUGAUUGGUGUUGUUAAUUUUUGAUUUUUUCAGUCAGGCCCGUAACCAUGGUUCAGACGGGCGCUGAGACGACGACCGUGACGGAGGCCGACAUGUCGUGGCAAGAAAUGGAGCAGAUGAACGAAACAGUUAAGAAACAAGAGGGACGUAGCAAUGAUGACAAGGAACCCUCCCGAUUGCCCGAAAGCAAACAAGAAAUAAUAUGGACUAACGUCAUUAUCAUUGCGAUUCUCCACAUCUUGGCCGUUAGAGGAUUAUUGUUUUUACCCUAUGCGAAAUACCAAACCAUAAUUUUCGGUGAGUUUAUAGGUACUUAUAAUGGCUGGUAUUCGGUCUGCUUUGGCGGUCGGUCGAAUAACGAAAAAUCAUCAAAUAAAAAGAAACUAGGUCGAGUAUAUUAUAGAGAUGAUAAAAUCACCUAA
rnacentral:lncRNA from 1 species